rnacentral:ncRNA from 2 species
ACCUCAUCCAGAGGGGUAUCAGGGAUACGGCCCGACGACGCCCCGGCAACCACCGCGCUCGACUCGAUGACGAGGCUCGCGCCCGGCAGGUGCUAAUUCCGUCCCGGUCCAGCGCCGGGGAAGAUGAGAA